GGGUUGCAUUUUUAGUGUAUUGUGUUACUACUGGCUCAAGAAAAUUUCUGGCAGGAAGAAUGGACGAAAUACACGGCAGUGCUGGGAGACACUGGUUGGUCAAGAGCUUUACCGUUUGGUUUUAAUGGAUCUGCUAUUUGCAAUGUCAUACAUCAUCUUAGCGGAGUUUCUGUGGGGGUUUUGUAUUAGAAACAUCACAUUAAGAAAAAGGAAACUAGAGUUUGACAUCGCACGAGAUGUUCUGGAGCUCAUCUACGGCCAAACGCUUGUGUGGUUUGGUGUGCUGUUUUCACCGCUCUUGCCUGCAGUGCAAAUUGGGAAACUGUUUCU